AAGACAUGGGCUGUGUCAACUCAGGGU
rnacentral:piRNA from 1 species